UUGAACGCUGGCGGCAUGCCUUACACCUGCAAGUCGCACGGUAACGGGCCUUCGGGUGCCGACGAGUGGCGAACGGGUGAGUAAUACAUCGGAACGUGCCCGAUCGUGGGGGAUAACGAGGCGAAAGCUUUGCUAAUACCGCAUACGAUCUACGGAUGAAAGCAGGGGACCGCAAGGCCUUGCGCGGACGGAGCGGCCGAUGGCAGAUUAGGUAGUUGGUGGGAUAAAAGCUUACCAAGCCGACGAUCUGUAGCUGGUCUGAGAGGAUGAUCAGCCACACUGGGACUGAGACACGGCCCAGACUCCUACGGGAGGCAGCAGUGGGGAAUUUUGGACAAUGGGCGCAAGCCUGAUCCAGCCAUGCCGCGUGCAGGAUGAAGGCCUUCGGGUUGUAAACUGCUUUUGUACGGAACGAAAAGCCUUCUUUUAAUACAGGAGGGUCAUGACGGUACCGUAAGAAUAAGCACCGGCUAACUACGUG
rnacentral:rRNA from 1 species